UGGUGGGUUGGGGUAAGCUUUGUCUGGACGCCAAGACUUUGCAUAAAAAAACAUGGGUUCUAGCAUUUAGUGCCAUCCAUGUCCUUUCUUUUCUUACUUUUUGGCUUGUUGAGAAUCCAUUUGGUUUAAUCAUCAGGUAUUUUCACGCCAGUUUUCAGGCAUUGAAAUAAAAUCCUGAUCUGGUCAGGUUUUCUUCCAUAUCUGCACUAAAAAUUUGUGUUUCGUUGUUUUUUAUUGGAUUCAAACCAAGAUAGCAGACAGACCUCCAGGGAUAAAGAGUUCACCGACGCUGAUCAUAGCUGCUCAUGCCACCGUGUUCCUCUUUAUUUUAUUUUCUUGUGUUCUGGGAUAGAAAAAACAAGAUAGUUGUAACAUUCUAUACAUGUCUCAUUUGCAUUUCUUGUUUUGAAAAGAUAAGAAUUUACUUCAAAGUUAUCCUAUAAAUAUUUAUUUUUGUGUCUCCGUCUUUCUAUGCAUUCUUUAUCUAUCUUAUUUAUUCUUAUACACUAACCAAACACAACUUGAUAACUUGGCAACCUUUCACUCUCUGUAUUCUUGAAUCUGCUCCAAUAACCAAUCAACUAUAAUGAAAAUUUUUCAGAAAGUGCUAUACGUGCACAUGCACAUAAACGAAGAAAAACUUCUAUCUUAGAGGCAAAAAUCGAUAUAGAAAAUUGAAAUGUGAAAUAAAUAAAAAGGGUAUCUAUUGCAAGGGUGGUGGUUAUGUUUCACAUAAACAAAAUCUACAAACAUGUUGUGCCUAGAGAAACAAUGAACUGCCUAUUCAUUUACAUUUUUGGCACCUGCUGUCAAAACCUAUAUCUGUUAGAUCUAACUAUUUCUUCCCAAACAUUUCAUUUCUUUCUAGGACUUCAAAAAGGAGGGCUAUGCAUCAGCAGGCUACAGUUACAUUUACACGUUACAGUUUAUUGUACAUAGGAGCAACAACGCAGGGGG
rnacentral:lncRNA from 1 species